rnacentral:tRNA from 1 species
AUAGCAGUAUUCCACUGGUCUUAGGCACCAAAACUCUUGGUGC